rnacentral:rRNA from 1 species
GACGAACGCUGGCGGCGUGCUUAACACAUGCAAGUCGAACGAAGUGGCGAACGGGUGAGUAACGCGUAAUCAACCUGCCCUUCAGAGGGGGACAACAGUUGGAAACGACUGCUAAUACCGCAUACUGAGGGAGGGGAUUGCGUCUGAUUAGCUAGGUGGAGGGGUAACGGCCCACCAAGGCGAUGAUCAGUCGCCGGUCUUAGAGGAUGAACGGCCACAUUGGGACUGGGACACGGCCCAAACUCCUACGGGAGGCAGGAGUGGGGAAUCUUCCGCAAUGGAGGAAAGUCUGACGGAGCCACGCCGCGUGAGUGGUGACGGCCUUCGGGUUGUAAAGCUCUGUUAAUCGGGACGCGGUACCGGAAUAGAAAGCCACGGCUAACUACGUGCCAGCAGCCGCGGUAAUUC